rnacentral:tRNA from 1 species
UGGGACAUAGUAUAGUUUGGUAACGUGCCGUCCUGGGGUGAUGGAGAUCAUGGGUUUAAAUCCCGCUGCUCCAA